rnacentral:rRNA from 1 species
AGUGAACGCUGGCGGCGUGCUUAACACAUGCAAGUCGAACGAGAACGGAUUAUAGCUUGCUAUAAUUGUCAGCUAAGUGGCGCACGGGUGAGUAAUGUAUAGGUAUUAUGCCUCUUACUAAGGGAUAACAAAUGGAAACGUUUGCUAAUACCUUAUACUCCUUAUUAACAUAAGUUAAUAAGGGAAAGAUUUAUUGGUAAGAGAUUAGCCUGUAUUGUAUCAGUUAGUUGGUGGGGUAAUGGCUUACCAAGACUAUGACACAUAACUGGUUUGAGAGGAUGAUCAGUCACACUGGAACUGAGACACGGUCCAGACUCCUACGGGAGGCAGCAGUGGGGAAUAUUGCACAAUGGACGAAAGUCUGAUGCAGCAACGCCGCGUGGAGGAUGACACAUUUCGGUGCGUAAACUCCUUCUAUAUGAGAAGAUAAUGACGGUAUUAUAUGAAUAAGCACCGGCUAACUCCGUGCCAGCCGCCGCGGUAA